UGGGGAAUCUUGCACAAUGGGGGCAACCCUGAUGCAGCGACGCCGCGUGAGCGAUGAAGCCCUUCGGGGCGUAAAGCUCUUUCGACCGGAACGAUAAUGACGGUACCGGGAGAAGAAGCUGCGGCUAACUACGUGCCAGCAGCCGCGGUAAUACGUAGGCAGCAAGCGUUGUUCGGAGUUACUGGGCGUAAAGAGUACGUAGGCGGUUCUCUAAGUUCGGUGUGAAAUCGCCCGGCUUAACUGGGAGGGUGCGCCGAAGACUGGGAAGCUGGAGUGUGGGAAAGGCCGGCGAAAUUCCGGGUGUUGCGGUGAAAUGCGUAGAUAGCAGGAGGAACACCGGCGGUGUAGACGGCUUGCUAGAGCAUAACUGACGCUGAGGCACGAAAGCGUGGGUAGCAAACA
rnacentral:rRNA from 1 species